GAUGAACGCUGGCUACAGGCUUAACACAUGCAAGUCGAGGGGAAACGACGGGGAAGCUUGCUUCCCCGGGCGUCGACCGGCGCACGGGUGAGUAACGCGUAUCCAACCUGCCUCUGACUGAGGGAUAACCCGUCGAAAGUCGGCCUAAUACCUCAUGGUAUCGUCUGCGGGCAUCCAACGACGAUUAAAGAUUUCAUCGGUCAGGGAUGGGGAUGCGUCUGAUUAGCUUGUUGGCGGGGUAACGGCCCACCAAGGCUACGAUCAGUAGGGGUUCUGAGAGGAAGGUCCCCCACAUUGGAACUGAGACACGGUCCAAACUCCUACGGGAGGCAGCAGUGAGGAAUAUUGGUCAAUGGGCGAGAGCCUGAACCAGCCAAGUAGCGUGCAGGAAGACGGCCCUAUGGGUUGUAAACUGCUUUUAUGCGGGGAUAAAGUGAGGGACGGGUCCCUCAUUGCAGGUACCGCAUGAAUAAGAACCGGCUAAUUCCGUG
rnacentral:rRNA from 1 species